CUCCUGGGGGGGGCGGGAUCGGCGUCGCCGUGCCUCGAGGGCGCGGCCCCCGCCGCCGAUCGGGAUUCGGCCCAGGAGG
rnacentral:tRNA from 1 species